AUUUAAGUAGUUUAAGUAAAAUGUCGAUUUGUGGUGUCGGAGUUGUAGUAAAAUUUAUUGCCUUAAAUU
rnacentral:tRNA from 1 species